rnacentral:rRNA from 1 species
AAUUUUGCGCAAUGGGCGAAAGCCUGACGCAGCAACGCCGCGUGAAUGAUGACGCCCUUCGGGGUGUAAAGUUCUGUCAGUGGGGACGAAACUUGACGGUACCCACAGAGGAAGCACCGGCUAACUCCGUGCCAGCAGCCGCGGUAAUACGGAGGGUGCAAGCGUUGUCCGGAAUCAUUGGGCGUAAAGAGUUCGUAGGUGGCAUGUUAAGUCUGGUGUUAAAGCCCGAAGCUCAACUUCGGUUCGGCACUGGAUACUGGCAAGCUUGAAUGUGGUAGAGGUAAAGGGAAUUCCUGGUGUAGCGGUGAAAUGCGUAGAUAUCAGGAGGAACAUCGGUGGCGAAAGCGCUUUGCCGGGCCAUUAUUGACGCUGAGGAACGAAAGCCGGGGUAGCAAAUGGG